CAGCACCCUUUUUUGAGAAAGCCUGCAAUGACAGCAUAUCAAAUGAUGAAGCCAGCAGAAGCUCAAAUGAUCUGUUCCCUGACCCUGCACCUCUUUGCAGUUCACUUGUGGACAAAGUCUGUUUAUCACCUUCAAAAGUCCACGAUGCUACAGCACAAAAGAAUGGACAAUGUCUCAUUCCCUAUUCUUCAGAACAUGACCAGAGUCUAAUAAAGUCACCCCUUUCUUUUGACACAACGUCAAUGUUUGGUGACCUUUCAGUGGGAGGUUUUGAGAACAAUCUUUAUCCAGAUAUUCAGCUUGCCAAAGAGAGCUUUAGUCCUCUGGAAACCACAACAGAUAAAAAGGAACUAUUUGAGUCAUCAUUCUCACCAUUCUUAGAGCAAAGAGACUGGAAUCUGAUGGUUGAUGUUACUCCUGUGCUACCAGAUGAGAUUUCUCAGUACAAAGAGGACUCCGACUCAAAUGAGAAUAAGACCAAUUUUAACCAUGUCCCAUUUGCUUUACCAGAGAAAUUAAUGGACUACAAUCCAAAUCUCAACAGUAGCGUGUCAGUUGAUGAUCUGGAAAUAAAAAGGAUAGUUACAGAGCUUGAGAGUCAGCUGCAAACAGCCAAGCUCAGCAGCCCUCCACCAUUAGACAGUGAGCUGCCAAAACCGUUAACCAUGAGCAAAUUCUCUCCACUGAGACUUGACCCUGACAGUGAAGAAGAGGAUAGUAGCUUAGAGAUGAACUGUUCCUCAGAGAAUCUGCAAAUUGCCAGACAAGUAGACUCACAAUCAGAGCUGUUCUCAGAACCUGACUUACCAUGGUCUAGUCCGCUCCCAUUUGGAUUGAUGUGUGGACAGCAAGGUCUUCACACGCCAAUGCAUCCCUCUACUACCAACACACCAACUGAUUCAGAACAUGACCAUUUGGAUGCAAAGGAUGGCAUGGGGCUCACCGUUUUGAACACAGAAAACGGUUCACCUACACAUCUAAAGGGCAAAACAGAGAAGAAUGACUGCUUAGACAAGUCAGAAGAGAUGCUUGAACAUGAAAUUUACACAGAAAAUCUGAUGAAGAGCUUGGAAGUGAUCUCAGAUUCUUUGUCUUCAGGUUUUACAUCACCUCAGUCAUCUCCUAAUCAAGAGAGUGUGGUUCCUGAGGAACAUGACAAACAAGACCAUGAACACUCUAAACAAAAAGAGUCUGAGCAUAUGGAAUCUAGAAACACAGAAGCAGAGCUCACAAAGUUCUCGGUGGAGACAAGCACAUUUAACACAAGCACAGCUAAAUUAGAAGAGACAACCAGUGACAUUUCUGGGUCAGGCAACAGAACAAAAGUCAGCCUAAAUGAGACUAGUAAUGACACUCUUCACAAUGAAUUAGUAGCUAAUGAACAACAGCUUGCUGAGAGUUCCUUUGAGAGUCCACAAACUACAUACUGCAUGAACUCAAAAGAAAUCGACUCAAAGAAACCUGAGUGUGAUACACAGUUUGGUAUUAAAGACUCAAAUUAUGCUAUCCAAAAUCCAGACUUCUCCAAAAUAUUCCACUUCUCAGCAUCCCCCACCAUACCAAAAGAUGACAACAUCCUGUGUGUGGGAAAAACACAGAAAUUUGAUGAAGAUUCAGCUCUAAUUGCAAAUCCAGAAUUAAUUUCUGAAGACAAUGGACAUGCAUCUGACAAAACAGGUGGAACAACAGACUGUCUGUCUAAGACAGACAUCCAACAGCCCAUUUCAAACAUCAAGUCUCCUCAUUGUGAAGACCACUUAUCAACCCAUUCACAAUUAAAUAAUACACAACAGGUGGUUUCUCCUAAACAUCUUCCCGUAGUUCAAGAUGAUCAUGAAUGCACAGCCAAUGUGGAGAGAGCAAUGCCUGAUAUGACAUUGUUUUCUGAGCAAUCAGAAUGUGAAGCGAAUCAACAAAAGAACACAGAGCAGAGUUCUAAGCUUCUUAUUUUGAAUCAAGCACCAGAGUUUUCCUACAACUCUAUCCAAAGUCCAUCUGAGCUGAAAGAUAAUGGUCCACUACCAAGUACAGUUACCCCAGCACUGAGUAAAAACAGACCAGCCCUGGAAGACAAGAACUCAGAUCAAAUAAAUAUUGGCAAGUCACAUAUUUUUCAUCCAGCAACAACAGAAUUAGAUCAUUCAUUUAAUCCCCAUCUGGAUUUAGUAGAAAUCACAGAGAGUAACAUUUCUAGCCCUGGAACACUGUUGACUGUGGACAAAAUCUCAAAACAACCUUUUUCUGAGAAUUCUGGGGCAUUGGAUGACUCUCAAGAUACAGGUGCACUGUAUGAUUUGAAACUCAGCCCCCUAAACUACAAUGAAACAAGUUUCAGUGACUACAACUUCACCUCUAAAUGUUUAAACAAAGAACAGCCUGAUGUAAAAUCAAACUCCACAGACAGUUACAUUCUCAAUGUCUGUGCCUUUUCUCUUGAUGAGCCAUCAUCAUCCGCCCCAACAUAUAAUGCAAAUGAACAAGAGCCAAAUAUUCAGGGCCACUUGACUGGACUUGAUAUACCCGAAACCUCUAUAAAUAACAACGACAAUGAUAUAAAAUAUUCAAGUGUUUUAGCUUCCUGCAGUAAUUAUGUUGAGGAAGGCCGCAGAAUUGACUCUGAACAAGUCUUAAAACUUAACCAAACUGACAUGAAUGGUAGUCACCUUCCACCUGAAACUGUUGAUUACAUGGAUUUGCACCUCAAAUUUCACAAGAAAGCAGAUUCUGCAAAGCUAGACCACCAGAUGAUCAGCAGUGAAAAUGAUACAAUGCAGAGGUCAACAAUGUUAGACAUCAAUGAGAUACCUAAUCCUCUGAUACACUAUGCAAAAGCAGCAUCCAUGGGUCUUACAUUCACAUCUGUCCAAAAUGAAGGACCAAGUCCAAAUGAGAAAAAAACAUCUCCAAAAAAAGGUGGUACACAGAAUGCAGUUCAAGGAAAAUUUCAGU
ensembl:lncRNA